AUGGCAGUCACAGGCUGCCUGUGUCCCUGUCACUCAGGGAACCAGACCGAGGGAGGUCCCACCCCCACCUCCCCCCCAGGCUGCCCCAACAGUCAAGGGAGGCAAAGGGAGGGAGUGACAAACGGCAUGCUGGUCAUCAGAGCCGCCCCUGGUGACAUGUCACACGUGGGUGUCACAGGAGGCAAAGUGAGACACAGCUACAGUGACGUCAGAAGAACAAGAGGAAGCCAGGACCUGGAGACGGGAGAGGGCAGGGCAGCAGCGGGGAAGGUCUUUGCUGAGAGUCUAGAACUCUCCUGGCCCUGUACUGUCAUCUCCUACCGUGACGCACCCUCCUUUCCCCCCGGGGAGACACCCCUCGCAGCCGCUGUCCAAUGCCGGUUCUUGGAGAGCUCACGGCCGAAUCGCUCCACAAGAGAACGUGAAUUUCCCACCAAGCUCGUGCAGCCCCCGCAAGCGCAGCGCCUGUUCUGUUGGCACCUGCCGUGUGCCCCAACCCUCAGGGCUCACCACGUUCCACCUGCUGACUGCCGGUGCUCACCUCAGCUCCUCAUUUCCUCCAAUGGCAUUGAUAGCAGGUGUCUGGCCGGCACCACGGCUCAUUACGCUAAUCCUCCGCCUGCGGCGCCGGCACCCCGGGUUCUAGUCCUGGUUGGCGUGCUGGAUUCUGUCCUGGUUGCUCCUCUUCCAGUUCAGCUCACUGCUGUGGCCCGGGAAAGCAGUGGAGGAUGGCCCAAGUGCUUGGGCCCUGCACCCCAUGGGAGACCAGGAGGAAGCACCUGGCUCCUGGCUUCAGAUCGGUGCAGCGCACCAGCCGUAGCUGCCAUUUGGGGGGGGGGUGGUGGUGAACCAAUGGAAAAGGAAGACCUUUCUCUCUCUCUCUCAAUGUCUAACUCUUCCUGUCCAAAAAAAAAAAAAAAAAAAAAAAAAAAAAGAAAGCAGGUGUCUGAGCUGGCCUGCCCCAGGAGCACCAGGCAGCAGCCACAGCCUGACAGGCGGCCUCGCUGCUCGGCUUUGUUGCUGUCCUCAUGUUUGCUGGGAAGGGAGGUGACUGCUUCUGUACUGUGA
rnacentral:lncRNA from 1 species